CUGCUAUCGAGGUUCGACUAAGCCAUGCGAGUCGAAUGUAGCAAUACAUGGCGUACUGCUCAGUAACACGUGGACAACCUACCCUUAGGACGGGGAUAAAACCCGGGGAAACUGGGUAUAAUACCCGAUAGUCCUCCGGCUGCUGGAAUGCACCGAGUACUAAAGCUCCGGCGCCUAAAGGAUGGGUCUGCGGCCUAUCAGGUAGUAGUGGGGUGUUAGCGUACCUACUAGCCUACGACGGGUACGGGUUGUGAGAGCAAGAGCCCGGAGAUGGAUUCUGAGACACGAAUCCAGGCCCUACGGGGUGCAGCAGGCGCGAAAACUUUACAAUGCUGGCAACAGCGAUAAGGGGACCUCGAGUGCCAGGUUACAAAUCUGGCUGUCGUGAUGCCUAAAAAGCAUUGCAUAGCAAGGGCCGGGCAAGGACCGGUGCCAGCCGCCGC
rnacentral:rRNA from 1 species